rnacentral:rRNA from 1 species
GAUGAACGCUAGCUACAGGCUUAACACAUGCAAGUCGAGGGGAAACGACAUCGAAAGCUUGCUUUUGAUGGGCGUCGACCGGCGCACGGGUGAGUAACGCGUAUCCAACCUGCCCAUCACUUGGGGAUAACCUUGCGAAAGUAAGACUAAUACCCAAUGAUAUCUCUAGAAGACAUCUGAAAGAGAUUAAAGAUUUAUCGGUGAUGGAUGGGGAUGCGUCUGAUUAGCUUGUUGGCGGGGUAACGGCCCACCAAGGCAACGAUCAGUAGGGGUUCUGAGAGGAAGGUCCCCCACAUUGGAACUGAGACACGGUCCAAACUCCUACGGGAGGCAGCAGUGAGGAAUAUUGGUCAAUGGGCGAGAGCCUGAACCAGCAAAGUAGCGUGCAGGAAGACGGCCCUAUGGGUUGUAAACUGCUUUUAUAAGGGAAUAAAGUGAGAGUCGUGACUCUUUUUGUAUGUACCUUAUGAAUAAGGACCGGCUAAUUCCGU